rnacentral:rRNA from 1 species
UACAGAGGUGGCAAGCGUUGUUCGGAAUUACUGGGCGUAAAGGGCGCGUAGGCGGUCUGCCAAGUCCCGUGUGAAAGCCCUCGGCUCAACCGAGGAACGGCGCGGGAAACUAGCAAGCUUGAGUUCGGGAGAGGGAAGCGGAAUUCCGGGUGUAGCGGUGAAAUGCGCAGAUAUCCGGAGGAACACCGGUGGCGAAGGCGGCUUCCUGGACCGAUACUGACGCUGAGGCGCGAAAGCUAGGGGAGCAAACGGG